GGAGUAAAAGUCGUAACAAGGUUUCCGUAGGUGAACCUGCGGAAGGAUCAUUCAUAAUAAGUGUUUUAUGGCACUUUUUUAAAUCCAUAUCCACCUUGUGUGCAAUGUCAGGGUUGAUUUUUCUCUCAAGAGGAUCAGCCCCAAACAUCAACUAUAUCUCAACUCUUUGUCUGAAAAAUAUUAUGAAUAAAACAAUUCAAAAUACAACUUUCAACAACGGAUCUCUUGGCUCUC
rnacentral:misc_RNA from 1 species